AAACGUCCAACUCCAUAACAGUUGUUGAUGGCUGACUUAUCACAAGACAUAGUGUGAGCUGAAACAAUUGAAAGGAGAGAUUAGUCUCACUGGAUGCAACUCUUCGUUUGCUCUGACUUUUCUCUCACAAGCAACCCGGCAUGAGAUGGAGAAAUUCUUCACACUCUUCAUCUCUGAGCUGUGGAUGGGGUGGAGAUGAAGACGUGAAUAUAUACCAGGCUGCAGAGGAGAGGAACAUCAGAGCGAGAGAAGAGUUACUACGAGUACACAAACUCAAGACUGAACACAUCUCACACUAUGUCUUGUGAUAAGUCGUCCAUCAACAACUAUUGUGCAGUCGGACGUUUCCAAGUUGUUAAACUACAGUCAGACGACUGCAGCAAAGUGAAGUUCUGCGCUCCUGUUCACAAGAACCCAUGCAGCUGUGAGACAUGCUGUGGUCGUAAGGCUGUGGUCAUCCAGGAUGACUGUAAGUGCAGUGGAGCGUGUGGACGGCAGGUGUGCGGCUGCUUCAAGCCAGUUUGUCAGCACAACCCUUGCAGAAACCUGAGGUCAUGCCAUGAUCAUGGGGUCAAGACGGUCAUCCAGGAUGAAUGCAGGAGAACAUGUGGAACUGAAGUGUCAGUCUCAUUCCCGGUCAAUAAGUGGAAGGGCGUGUGCUGCACACCGGUUUGUGAUCAACUGCCUUUGCCACUAACUGACAGAAAGCUGUGAUUAUGUUGGACUGUGAUGUUUCAGUCUUCAGGUUCCUCUGUUUAGAAUAAUGAAGCAGAAAUUUAUUGCAAAAGUUAUUGAA